UACGUAGGGUGCGAGCGUUGUUCGGAAUUACUGGGCGUAAAGCGCGCGUAGGCGGCUUUGUAAGUUAGAGGUGAAAGCCCGGGGCUCAACCCCGGAACUGCCUUUAAAACUGCAUCGCUUGAAUCCGGGAGAGGUGAGUGGAAUUCCGAGUGUAGAGGUGAAAUUCGUAGAUAUUCGCAAGAACACCAGUGGCGAAGGCGGCUCACUGGCCCGGUACUGACGCUGAGGUGCGAAAGCGUGGGGAGCAAACAGG
rnacentral:rRNA from 1 species